CGGGCGACUGAGCUCAGCGGCAGAGGCGCUGGGGCCUUGGACGGAGAGGGGCCAGGAGGAGGGGGCGGGAGCCACAGAGCCAGCGGGGCGAGGCCGGCGGCCCCCUCGGGAGGACGCGACCCGCCUGGAGGGCCGGAGGAAGGAAGGGGAAGCCGCGAGCAGAGCCAGGCGGCGGGCAAGAACCGAGACAAAGAGCCAGCCCGCCGGGGAGAGAAGGGGAGAGCCCGCUCUACUCUUCUCUUCCCUCCCCUUCCUUUCUUCUCUUCCCGCCGCCCUUAUUCAUUCGCUCUCGCCUGGGCCGGAGGGUCCCGCACCGGAGUCCGCAACUGGCCGUCGGCCCCCCCCCCUUUUCAUCCCCGUCAGGUGUUGGUACUCGCUUAUGAUUGCACUGAUUUCCCCCAGUUCCCCCCUCAGGACUUGGGAGAUCACCCCCAAAGGUGCCAGUGCCCAAUACUGAAUCUUUGUGCAAGUAUAACGUGUUGAAGAAUUCUAGCUUUCAGCAUCUGGAUCCUGAAUUGUGUGCCAAAGAGAGACUCCAUGAAAGAUGACAGAAGAAGUUAUUGUUAUAGCAAAGUGGGAUUACACUGCACAACAGGACCAAGAACUUGACAUAAAGAAGAAUGAACGCCUCUGGCUGCUAGAUGAUUCCAAAACGUGGUGGAGGGUAAGAAAUGCAGCCAACAAAACAGGAUAUGUGCCAUCAAAUUACGUCGAACGAAAGAAUAGCUUGAAGAAGGGCUCUUUGGUUAAAAAUCUGAAAGACACAUUGGGUUUGGGUAAAACAAAAAGGAAGACAAGUGCUCGAGAUGCUUCUCCAACUCCUAGUACUGAUGCAGAAUACCCAUCUAAUGGUAGCAGUGCUGAUCGGAUUUAUGAUCUGAACAUCCCAGCCUAUGUUAAAUUUGCUUACAUGGCAGAGAGGGAGGAUGAAUUGUCCCUUGUGAAAGGAUCUCGAGUCAUUGUUAUGGAAAAAUGCAGUGAUGGCUGGUGGAGAGGGAGCUACAAUGGGCAGAUUGGCUGGUUUCCUUCAAACUAUGUAGUAGAGGAAGUUGAAGAAGCGACUGCCGAUUCGCCAAGUUUUCUAAGUUUAAGGAAAGGAGCAUCCAUGAGUAAUGGCCAGGCCAUGAAAGUGCUUCAUGUUGUUCAGACACUGUAUCCAUUCAGUUCCGUCACAGAAGAAGAGCUCAACUUUGAAAAAGGUGAAACCAUGGAAGUCAUAGAGAAACCUGAAAAUGACCCAGAAUGGUGGAAAUGUAAAAAUUCUCGAGGGCAGAUUGGUCUUGUUCCCAAAAACUAUGUAGUAAUCAUAAGUGAUGGUCCUACCCUUAAUGCUUCCCAUCCACCUCAGAUAAGCUACACAGGACCCUCUUCUACGGGACGGUUUGCUGGAAGAGAGUGGUAUUAUGGGAGUGUUACUCGGCAUCAGGCUGAAUGUGCUCUGAAUGAAAGGGGAGUGGAAGGGGACUUCCUUGUCAGAGACAGUGAAUCUUCGCCCAGUGACUUCUCAGUAUCUCUAAAGGCAUCAGGGAAGAACAAACAUUUCAAAGUGCAGUUGGUGGACAAUGUCUAUUGCAUUGGGCAACGUCGAUUUAAUACUAUGGAUGAGUUGGUGGAACACUACAAAAAAGCUCCCAUCUUCACCAGUGAACAUGGGGAAAAGUUAUAUCUUGUCAAAGCACUUCAGUGACAUUGAAGAUGGACUAGGCCUGCUGGCCCUCUUCUAACUUACAAGCCUUAGGUCUACAUUCACUUUUAUAAAGCAGAGCAAUCUACACCAGUCUGAGACAGUCUUCAAAGAAUGACCUCUUUCUCAAGUAUUUGCUUGGUUGGUUAUAUUCUCUAAUCCAUUUCCCCCACCCCCUUUCCCCUGUUUGUCUUUUAAAACUUCAGUUGUUUCAUGUUCCCUCAGGUUGAAAAUUUCACUUAAAUGGCCGUUGCAAGCACUCGUUUUAUUCCCCAGGUUCUAAACUCCCCUCCCCUGUAUACGUUUACAUAGUUAGCUCACACAAAUGAGGGGUGUUCUCAAUUCAAAGCAGUGUUAAAUUGUUCGGAUAGCUCACGCUGGCAGAAUGCUAGCAGAACUCAUCAUUAAGAGACUUUGGGCACAGUUUGAAUGCACUGAACCUGCAGCUAAUUAAGAGAAAUAUAGUAGACAUAACAGUCGUGGCUGUGAGUUCUGUAGCUAUUUUGCUUACCAAGUAGUAUAUUCCAGAAAUUCCUAGUUUCUAGAAGCACUCUUUACACUCUUUUUUUCUCAACUAUUACAUUGCCUCUUUGACUCUUUGUGAAGAGUACACUAACUAAAGCAUUUUGUAAUAGUACUUCUUAAACUACUACGGUAAGAUUGUAGUAAAAGAAAACUAUCUAGUGUAUUUUGACAUGUAAAUGCAACAGAUGUUUCAUUGAAAGUUGAUUACUUAGAGAAUCAUUGAAUUGUAAUGGUUGAAUGUUUUGGUAAUCUCCAACCAAAUGUGCCAUCCACAUAAUGCUUUCUUCUUCUUGCCCUUCUGCCUGUUUGAAUUAAACAAUUAUGUAUUUAAUUCUUAAAGUAAUAUGUAUCUGUAGCUGAUUGACACUAAUACAGAAGUUUAAUAAACGUAACUAAAUAUAGGUGGGUGGGGCUUCCAACACAUACAUGCAUUUGUCUAAUAUAUAUAAAUAUAUAUAUGCACAUAUAUAUAUAUAUUUGCGUUUCCAGAAAAAAAAAUUCAGGGUUUACAAAAAAUGUGGAGUGAUUGAUAGUAAGACACACAGAAUGUUAUAUGAAGAAAAUGCAUUUUCUUUCUUUACUUUUAACCUUCUUUAUGGUUUUUAAAUAUAGUCUUGAUGGCACAUUCCUGAAAAUCGAGAAAAGGGCCUUGAUGAUCCCAAAAUCUUGCAUACCCACUUUUUGGAUAUUGUAAUAAAAAAGCAUAGCUUUUGUGUAAUCCAGAACCCUCGUUUUUGAUGAGCAGUCGCUGGCAGUGAAGAGGCCGUGAUUAACUCAACUGCAGUAAGAUACUUUAGUUGGAAGUAAUAAUAGCAACCAUGUUGUUACGCCUUUUAUUACAUUUUUAAAGCAUUCAUCGUAAGCAUGUUGUCUGAGGUGGAAUAUUUCAGUUCAUCAGGAGCUGAUCACGUGUAUAAAGAAGGUUGCUUGGACAGAUUACAUCUGUGCAUGCCCACAGUGUUUGCAAAGUACCUUCUGCUCUGCGAAGUAAAAUCACAGGUACAAGUCUUAAGUAUGUUGGGAAUGUGAUACAUAUUAUUUGGGGGCAAAUGAUCAAGAAUCUGUUAGACUACAGCGGAAAUCAACUUAGUCCUCUCAAACUUAGUCCUUUCAAGUUUCAUUACUGCCAUUAUGCAAGCAAGAUUGAGAAGAGUCACUUCUGAAUUUAUUGGGCUCCUUUUGGUUUGGGCAUAUUUGUUUAUUUACUUUGUUUAUUUACCUGUCUCUCCAGUGUGGACCCCAAGCAGCUUACAUUGCUCUCCUUUUCUCCAUUUCAUCUUCACAACAACCCUGUGAGGAAGGUUAGGCUGAGAGUGUGCGGCUGGUCCAAGUUUCCAUGACAAGAGUGGGGAUUCAGACCUGGGUCUCCUGGCUCUCAUAUUCCUCCAUACAUACUGUGAAUUUUACUUAAUAAGAAGAAUUUAAAUAAAAUGUGUAGGGAGUUACACUUGACUGGAAGUAGCAGAAUAAUGCUUUGACAUUAUUUAUUGCUUUUUAAAAAGAUUUGUUGCCUGUUGAUAUCCUGUCAAGCCAUUUUACAAUCAUAAAGAAGCUACACAUUUUUCAGAUUAAAUCAAUACAAAGAAACAUGGCUUCCUUUAGAGCAAGACUCCUGUCUCAUCUCUUGAUGUUGAAGAGAGGGUCAUGUGAUUUCAAAGCCUUUCUGAAAUCACAGCAGCUCCUCAAGUAAGUAAGUAUCUAAACAACACCACUUGUCAAUCAGCCAAAGAGGACUUUAAAGGUGAUUAUUGUCAUGUAUGUAUAAUUAAACCAUUCCAAAUAUGCUUAUGUAUAAUUGAACCAUUCCAAAAUUAAAUAUCACUUUGGUCCUCUUG